GGGGGGGGCGGGGGGCGGGGCUGGCGGGGGGGGGUCGGGCGGGGGGGGCGGGGCGGGGGGCGCGCGGGUGCGUAACGCGGGGGAACCUGCGCGGAGGCUCGGAAUCGCGCCCCGGGAGGGGUGCGGAGACCGGGGAAUGUCUCCGGACCAAAGAUUUAUCGCCUUUGGAUGGGCCCGCGUUGGAUUAGCUAGUUGGUAGGGUAAAAGCCUACCAAGGCGACGAUCCAUAGCUGGUUUGAGAGGAUGAUCAGCCACACUGGGACUGAGACACGGCCCAGACUCCUACGGGAGGCAGCAGUGGGGAAUAUUGGACAAUGGGCGAAAGCCUGAUCCAGCAAUGCCGCGUGAGUGAUGAAGGCCUUAGGGUUGUAAAGCUCUUUUACCCGGGAUGAUAAUGACAGUACCGGGAGAAUAAGCUCCGGCUAACUCCGUG
rnacentral:rRNA from 1 species